rnacentral:rRNA from 1 species
UACGGAGGGGGCAAGCGUUAUUCGGAAUCAUUGGGCGUAAAGGGCGCGUAGGCGGCUUCAUAAGUCUUGGGUGAAAGCCCUCGGCUCAACCGAGGAAUUGCCUUGGAUACUGUGAAGCUCGAGGCUGGAAGAGGGCAGUGGAAUUCCCGGUGUAGCGGUGAAAUGCGCAGAUAUCGGGAGGAACACCAAUGGCGAAGGCAGCUCGCUGGGACGUGACUGACGCUGAGACGCGAAAGCGUGGGGAGCGAACAGG